rnacentral:rRNA from 1 species
GUGGCCCCCCACAAUGGAACUGAAACACUGUCCAUACACCUACGGGUGGCAGCAGUAGGGAAUAUUGGUAAUGUGCGAAAGCGCGAACCAGCAACGCCGCGUGUGCGAAGACGGCCUUCGGGUUGUAAAGCACUUUUCGGGAGGAAGAGGAAGGACUGUACUCCCGGAAUAAGUCUCGGCUAACUACGUGCCAGCAGCCGCGGUAAUACGUAGGAGGCAAACGUUAUCCGGAUUUACUGGGCGUAAAGCGCGUGCAGGCUGUUCAAUAAGUUGGGCGUGAAAGCUCCCGGCUCAACUGGGAGAGGUCGUUCAAUACUGUUGGACUAGAGGAUGAUAGAGGAAGAUGGAAUUCCGGGUAUAGUGGUGAAAUGCGCAGAUAUCCGGAGGAACACCAGUGGCGAAAGCGGCCUUCUGGACCAUUCCUGACGCUCAGACGCGAAAGCAAGGGUAGCGAACGCGAUUAGAGACCCCGGUAGUCCUAGCUGUAAACGAUGUGGACUCGGCGUCGGCGGGAUCAAAUCCAUCGGUGUAGUAGCUAACGCGAUAAGUUCACCGCCUGAGGAGUACGGCCGCAAGGUUAAAACUCAAAGGAAUUGACGGGGACCCGCACAAGCAGCGGAGCGUGUGGUCUAAUUCGUUGCUACACGAAGAACCUUACCUGGGUUUGAGAUAUAGAUUGUAGGGAACUGAAAAGGGACCGACCAUUCGGGGAGCCUAUACAGGUGUUGCAUGGCCGUAGUCAGCUCCUGUCGUGAGACGUUCGGUCAAGUCCGCUAACGAGCGCAACCCUCGCCGUAUGUUAUACGUGUCAUACGGGACUCCCGGUAAUAACCCGGAGGAAGGUUGGGGAUGAUGUCAAGUCAGCAUGACCUUUAUAUCACACGGGCUACACACACGUUACAAUGGUCUGUACAAUGGGUAGCCAAGCCGCGAGGCGGAGCCAAUCCUGAAAGCAGGCCUCAG